AAUAUUACUUAGUAGAUGAUGCCCGCGACUUCGUCCGCGUGGAUUUAUGUUUUUAAAAAUCCCGUGGGAACUCUUUGAUUUUCCGGGAUAAAAAGUAGCCUAUGUUCCUUUCCGGGUCUUUAACUA